rnacentral:rRNA from 1 species
UGGCUCAGGACGAACGCUGGCGGCGUGCUUAACACAUGCAAGUCGAACGAUGAAGCCUAGCUUGCUAGGUGGAUUAGUGGCGAACGGGUGAGUAAUACGUGAGUAACCUACCUUUAACUCUGGGAUAAGCCUGGGAAACUGGGUCUAAUACCGGAUACGACCAAUCUCCGCAUGGGGUGUUGGUGGAAAGCGUUAUGUAGUGGUUAUAGAUGGGCUCACGGCCUAUCAGCUUGUUGGUGAGGUAACGGCUCACCAAGGCGACGACGGGUAGCCGGCCUGAGAGGGUGACCGGCCACACUGGGACUGAGACACGGCCCAGACUCCUACGGGAGGCAGCAGUGGGGAAUAUUGCACAAUGGGCGCAAGCCUGAUGCAGCGACGCCGCGUGAGGGAUGACGGCCUUCGGGUUGUAAACCUCUGUUAGCAGGGAAGAAGAGAGAUUGACGGUACCUGCAGAGAAAGCGCCGGCUAACUACGUGCCAGCAGCCGCGGUAAUACGUAGGGCGCGAGCGUUGUCCGGAAUUAUUGGGCGUAAAGAGCUUGUAGGCGGUUUGUCGCGUCUGCUGUGAAAGGCCGGAGCUUAACUCCGUGUAUUGCAGUGGGUACGGGCAGACUAGAGUGCAGUAGGGGAGACUGGAAUUCCUGGUGUAGCGGUGGAAUGCGCAGAUAUCAGAGGAACACCGAUGGCGAAAGGCAGGUCUCUGGGCUGUAACUGACGCUGAGAAGCGAAAGCAUGGGGAGCGAACAGGAUUAGAUACCCU